ACGAACGCUGGCGGCGUGCCUAAUACAUGCAAGUCGAGCGGACAGAUGGGAGCUUGCUCCCUGAUGUUAGCGGCGGACGGGUGAGUAACACGUGGGUAACCUGCCUGUAAGACUGGGAUAACUCCGGGAAACCGGGGCUAAUACCGGAUGGUUGUUUGAACCGCAUGGUUCAAACAUAAAAGGUGGCUUCGGCUACCACUUACAGAUGGACCCGCGGCGCAUUAGCUAGUUGGUGAGGUAACGGCUCACCAAGGCGACGAUGCGUAGCCGACCUGAGAGGGUGAUCGGCCACACUGGGACUGAGACACGGCCCAGACUCCUACGGGAGGCAGCAGUAGGGAAUCUUCCGCAAUGGACGAAAGUCUGACGGAGCAACGCCGCGUGAGUGAUGAAGGUUUUCGGAUCGUAAAGCUCUGUUGUUAGGGAAGAACAAGUACCGUUCGAAUAGGGCGGUACCUUGACGGUACCUAACCAGAAAGCCACGGCUAACUACGUGCCAGCAGCCGCGGUAAUACGUAGGUGGCAAGCGUUGUCCGGAAUUAUUGGGCGUAAAGGGCUCGCAGGCGGUUUCUUAAGUCUGAUGUGAAAGCCCCCGGCUCAACCGGGGAGGGUCAUUGGAAACUGGGGAACUUGAGUGCAGAAGAGGAGAGUGGAAUUCCACGUGUAGCGGUGAAAUGCGUAGAGAUGUGGAGGAACACCAGUGGCGAAGGCGACUCUCUGGUCUGUAACUGACGCUGAGGAGCGAAAGCGUGGGGAGCGAACAGGAUUAGAUACCCUGGUAGUCCACGCCGUAAACGAUGAGUGCUAAGUGUUAGGGGGUUUCCGCCCCUUAGUGCUGCAGCUAACGCAUUAAGCACUCCGCCUGGGGAGUACGGUCGCAAGACUGAAACUCAAAGGAAUUGACGGGGGCCCGCACAAGCGGUGGAGCAUGUGGUUUAAUUCGAAGCAACGCGAAGAACCUUACCAGGUCUUGACAUCCUCUGACAAUCCUAGAGAUAGGACGUCCCCUUCGGGGGCAGAGUGACAGGUGGUGCAUGGUUGUCGUCAGCUCGUGUCGUGAGAUGUUGGGUUAAGUCCCGCAACGAGCGCAACCCUUGAUCUUAGUUGCCAGCAUUCAGUUGGGCACUCUAAGGUGACUGCCGGUGACAAACCGGAGGAAGGUGGGGAUGACGUCAAAUCAUCAUGCCCCUUAUGACCUGGGCUACACACGUGCUACAAUGGACAGAACAAAGGGCAGCGAAACCGCGAGGUUAAGCCAAUCCCACAAAUCUGUUCUCAGUUCGGAUCGCAGUCUGCAACUCGACUGCGUGAAGCUGGAAUCGCUAGUAAUCGCGGAUCACAUGC
rnacentral:rRNA from 1 species